AUAGCGUAUAUUAAAGUUGUUGCAGUUAAAAAGCUCGUAGUUGGAUUUUGGAUUGAGUCUAACGGUCGGCCGUAAGGUCUGUACUGUUGGGCUCUUUCUUCUUCUCGAAGACCAUGUGUGCUCUUAAUUGAGUGUGCAUGGGGUUCGGGACUUUUACUGUGAGAAAAUUAGAGUGUUCAAAGCAGGCAUUUGCUUGAAUAUUGCAGCAUGGAAUAAUGGAAUAGGAUCACGAUCUUAUUUUGUUGGUUUCUAGGAUCGAGAUAAUGAUUAAUAGGGAUAGUUGGGGGCAUUAAUAUUUAAUUGUCAGAGGUGAAAUUCUUGGAUUUAUGAAAGAUUAACUUCUG
rnacentral:rRNA from 1 species